rnacentral:rRNA from 1 species
UACGUAGGGGGCUAGCGUUGUCCGGAAUCAUUGGGCGUAAAGCGCGUGUAGGCGGUCCGGUAAGUCCGCUGUGAAAGUCGAGGGCUCAACCCUCGAAUGCCGGUGGAUACUGUCGGGCUAGAGUCCGGGAGAGGGCGGUGGAAUUCCGGGUGUAGUGGUGAAAUGCGUAGAUAUCCGGAGGAACACCAGUGGCGAAGGCGGCCGCCGUGGACCUGACCUGACGCUGAGGCGCGAAAGCUAGGGGAGCGAACGGG